UACAGAGGGGGCAAGCGUUAUUCGGAAUUACUGGGCGUAAAGGGCGCGUAGGCGGCCUGCUAAGUCGGACGUGAAAUCCCUCGGCUCAACCGGGGAACUGCGUCCGAUACUGGCGAGGCUUGAAUCCGGGAGAGGGAUGUGGAAUUCCAGGUGUAGCGGUGAAAUGCGUAGAUAUUCGGAGGAACACCAGUGGCGAAGGCGGCUCACUGGUCCAUUACUGACGCUGAGGUGCGAAAGCGUGGGGAGCAAACAGG
rnacentral:rRNA from 1 species